AAGUAGCUGGCGCAGCUACCAUGCAGUCGAGCGGAACAAAGUAGCUUGCUACUCUGGCGUCGAGCGGCGGACGGGUGAGUAAUGCUUGGGAACAUGCCUUGAGGUGGGGGACAACAGUUGGAAACGACUGCUAAUACCGCAUAAUGUCUACGGACCAAGGGGGGCUUCGGCUCUCGCCUUUAGAUUGGCCCAAGUGGGAUUAUCUAGUUGGUGAGGUAAUGGCUCACCAAGGCGACGAUCCCUAUCUGGUUUGAGAGGAUGAUCACCCACACUGGGACUGAGACACGGCCCACACUCCUACGGGAGGCAGCAGUGGGGAAUAUUGCACAAUGGGCGCAAGCCUGAUGCACCCAUGCCGCGUGUGUGAAGAAGGCCUUCGGGUUGUAAAGCACUUUCAGUCAGGAGGAAAGGUUAGUAGUUAAUACCUGCUAUCUGUGACGUUACUGACAGAAGAAGCACCGGCUAACUCCGUGCCAGCAGCCGCGGUAAUACGGAGGGUGCGAGCGUUAAUCGGAAUUACUGGGCGUAAAGCGUACGCAGGCGGUUUGUUAAGCGAGAUGUGAAAGCCCCGGGCUCAACCUGGGAACUGCAUUUCAAACUGGCAAACUAGAGUGUGAUAGAGGGUGGUAGAAUUUCAUGUGUAGCGGUGAAAUGCGUAGAGAUCUGAAGGAAUACCGAUGGCGAAGGCAGCCACCUGGGUCAACACUGACGCUCAUGUACGAAAGCGUGGAGAGCAAACAGGAUUAUAUACCCUGGGUACUCA
rnacentral:rRNA from 1 species